rnacentral:miRNA from 1 species
UGUGUGUGCAUGUGUGUGUGUGUGUGUGAAUAUCUAUAUCUAUAUAGAUAUAUAUGCACGCACACACACAUAUACAUACA